rnacentral:rRNA from 1 species
UAAAGCGUGCGCAGGCGGUUAUGUAAGACAGUUGUGAAAUCCCCGGGCUCAACCUGGGAACUGCAUCUGUGACUGCAUAGCUAGAGUACGGUAGAGGGGGAUGGAAUUCCGCGUGUAGCAGUGAAAUGCGUAGAUAUGCGGAGGAACACCGAUGGCGAAGGCAAUCCCCUGGACCUGUACUGACGCUCAUGCACGAAAGCGUGGGGAGCAAACAGGAUUAGAUACCCUGU